ensembl:lncRNA
GCAGCACAAAAACACAGUUUACAUACCACCGUCGUCUUCUCCUUAUCUGUCGGUCUAGCCGCUUUUACGGGUGUAGUGGCGGCGGUGUGUGGGCUCGCAUCGGCGUUUAUUCAGCGCUGAUUGCGGGACGGUCCAUUGCCGUCGCACUUUUUGCUGACAAAUGUUGGCGACUAUCAAGCCUUUGAGUCGCCGAGCAGCUGAAUAGGGGAAUAAUGUUGACGCGCCCGCUGUUUAAAACGUUAGUCAAAGUUCCAAGUUAAAACUCCUUUAUUUGUUAUCAAAUCCUUAAAAUCCGUAGAAAAACAGUGAUCAAAAACAUUCCAAGCUUGAGCGGUCAGCAAAAGUCGACUUCCCCCAUCACCCACUCAUUCACAAAAUUUCCCUCGGGCCGUGAACAGGUGAUAUAGCAAUCACUAUUACAGACACCACGUGACCCAAAGCUACGCCUAUCCAUAACAUGCCCAGUGACUUAUUUUUUAUUUUUUUUUGUAAUGGCAUGAACAAUGAGAGGUGGUGGAUUGGCCAGAUGCAGGUCGAUGUGUAAAAAUAACUCAGUUGUUUGGUGGUGGCUAUGGCGGGGCUUCCACAGAGGCCAGCAGGUGGAUGAGGGAAGGGGAGGCAGGAGGAGAGACCCGAGGCAGCCGCCGGUCCGAGUGUCAGGUGAACUGAACUUCAGAUCCGCAGCCAUGCAGCCCGCCUCCUCUCCUUUCUCCUCCUCACUGUGGUCACUCAGAGCCCUGUCCCAGCCUCCAUCUUCAUCUUCAUUACUAUCAGCAUGUUGACUCUGGGGUGGUGGUUGUGCAACAUCCUGUCACUGCUGGGAUUCUUUCUGCUAUGAUGGGUCAUUGGAGUCUAACUGCCAAACAGUUACAUUUAUUUCUGUAUCUCAAUAAAUCAUGUUCGUUUUUUCCACAUGAUCUCUCCUUAUUGAACUGCUUUUGUAGAUAAGCUUCAAGCCAGAAAGCAACAAUACCUA